rnacentral:rRNA from 1 species
GACGAACCGUGCGAACGUUAUUCGGAAUCACUGGGCUUAAAGGGCGCGUAGGCGGGCCGACAAGUCAGGGGUGAAAUCCUCCAGCCCAACUGGAGAAGCGCCUUUGGUACUGUCGGCCUCGAGGGGUGCAGGGGCAUGCGGAACUCAGGGUGGAGCGGUGAAAUGCGUAGAUAUCCUGAGGAACACCGGUGGCGAAAGCGGCGUGCUGGACACCUGCUGACGCUGAGGCGCGAAAGCCAGGGGAGCGAACAGG